rnacentral:rRNA from 1 species
UCCAGACUCCUACGGGAGGCAGCAGUGGGGAAUAUUGCACAAUGGGGGGAACCCUGAUGCAGCGACGCCGCGUGAGUGAAGAAGUAUUUCGGUAUGUAAAGCUCUGUCAGCAGGGAAGAAGAAAGACGGUACCUGACCAAGAAGCCCCGGCUAACUACGUGCCAGCAGCCGCGGUAAUACGUAGGGGGCAAGCGUUAUCCGGAUUUACUGGGUGUAAAGGGGGCGCAGACGGCGAUGCAAGCCAGGAGUGAAAGCCCGGGGCCCAACCCCGGGACUGCUCUUGGAACUGCGUGGCUGGAGUGCAGGAGGGGCAGGCGGAAUUCCUGGUGUAGCGGUGAAAUGCGUAGAUAUCAGGAGGAACACCGGUGGCGAAGGCGGCCUGCUGGACUGCAACUGACGUUGAGGCCCGAAAGCGUGGGGAGCAAACAGGAUUAGAUACCCGAGUAUA